rnacentral:rRNA from 1 species
GUAGCAAUUGGAGGGCAAGUCUGGUGCCAGCAGCCGCGGUAAUUCCAGCUCCAAUAGCGUAUAUUAAACUUGUUGCAGUUAAAAAGCUCGUAGUUGUAUUUUUGCGUUAGCGGUUUGACCAUUUGGUUGGUUAUUUCGUUUUCGCUUUUGGGAAUUUCCCUUUUUACUUUGAGAAAAUUAGAGUGUUUCAAGCAGACUUUUGUCUUGAAUACUUCAGCAUGGAAUAAUAGAGUAGGACUUUGGUUCUAUUUUGUUGGUUAUUGAACCUUAGUAAUGGUUAAUAGGAACGGUUGGGGGCAUUCGUAUUUAACUGUCAGAGGUGAAAUUCUUAGAUUUGUUAAAGACGAACUACUGCGAAAGCAUUUGCCAAGGACGUUUCCAUUAAUCAAGAACGAAAGUUAGGGGAUCGAAGACGAUCAGAUACCGUCGUAGUCCUAACCAUAAACU